GUGUUCUUGGAUGCACGCUUCCUAGUAACUAAGUGUUCCUGUUUGGGGCAGUACAAGUGCUGUAUUUUUCUCUGCAGAUGAUUUAUUCCCUUUGUGUCUUGCCUGUUUUUGUUUAAGUCUUUUAAUAUACUCCAAGGUUAUCUUUCAAGCCCUUUCUGUACCUCAGCUGCUUCGUGUUAUCUCAACCUCUGCCCUGCGUAUGUCAAUCGUAUUCUCCUCCUUUUGUCCCACGGAGCUCACCAGAUUUAAGGCAGUUGCUUUUUGUCUCUGGUCAGAAAUGGCUUGAUCUACCUAUAUCUGAUUUACAAACAACCAUCAACUACUGCUUUUCAGGAACACGUGACCUAUUAGCAACGUUCAACAUGUUGAGAAGGUGAGAGGUGUCAUUCUGUUUUUUUUUUAUAAGAUUUUAUUAAUUUAUUCAUAGAGACACAGAGAGAGAGACGGAGAGGCAGAGACAUAGGCAGAGGGAGAAGCAGGCUCCAUGCAGGGAGUCCAACUUGGGACUCCAUCCUGGGUCUCCAGGAUCACACCCCAGGCUGCAGGCGGCGCUAAACCGCUGUGCCACAGGGGCUGCCCUCAUUCUGUUUUCCAUACUUGAAAGUCCUCCUCAUGAAAGUACAGGAUAUCUCCCAGGGAGGUGAUAUAACUGUUUCUGUGGGCCCUAUUUCUUUCACAUUUGUCCCUUCCCCAAGUUUUUGAUUGGAUUAUUUUCUUAACAUGUUU
rnacentral:lncRNA from 12 species